rfam:Schistosoma margrebowiei strain Zambia genome assembly, scaffold: SMRZ_contig0004552
AUCCAGCUGACGAGUCCUAAAUAGGACGAAAUGCGCGUCCUGGAU